UACGAAGGGGGCUAGCGUUGCUCGGAAUCACUGGGCGUAAAGCGCACGUAGGCGGGUCUUUAAGUCAGGGGUGAAAUCCCGGAGCUCAACUCCGGAACUGCCUUUGAUACUGAAGAUCUUGAGUCCGGGAGAGGUGAGUGGAACUCCGAGUGUAGAGGUGAAAUUCGUAGAUAUUCGGAAGAACACCAGUGGCGAAGGCGGGUCUCUGGACAGUUCCUGACGCUGAGGCACGAAGGCCAGGGGAGCAAACGGG
rnacentral:rRNA from 1 species